rnacentral:rRNA from 1 species
AUUGAACGCUGGCGGCAUACCUUACACAUGCAAGUCGAACGGUAACAGGUCUUCGGAUGCUGACGAGUGGCGAACGGGUGAGUAAUACAUCGGAACGUGCCCGAUCGUGGGGGAUAACGAGGCGAAAGCUUUGCUAAUACCGCAUGCGAUCUACGGAUGAAAGCGGGGGAUCUUCGGACCUCGCGCGGACGGAGCGGCCGAUGGCAGAUUAGGUAGUUGGUGGGAUAAAAGCUUACCAAGCCGACGAUCUGUAGCUGGUCUGAGAGGAUGAUCAGCCACACUGGGACUGAGACACGGCCCAGACUCCUACGGGAGGCAGCAGUGGGGAAUUUUGGACAAUGGGCGAAAGCCUGAUCCAGCCAUGCCGCGUGCAGGAUGAAGGCCUUCGGGUUGUAAACUGCUUUUGUACGGAACGAAAAGCCUCUUUCUAAUAAAGAGGGGUCAUGACGGUACCGUAAGAAUAAGCACCGGCUAACUACGUG